GGAAGCUACUGUAAUCCAAAAGCUGUACUUUGGAAAUUUAUAUUUACUAAAUAAAAGUUAAAAAGUAAAAAAAAAAAGUUACACAGAAAAAAGGAGAGGCAGAGAGAGAUCGGUCUUCCAUCCACUGCUUCACUCCCCAGAUGGCCGCAACGGCCCGAGCUGCACCGAUCAGGAGCCAGGACCUUCUUCCAGGUCUCCCACAUGGGUGCAGGGGCCCAAGGACUUGGGCCAUCUUCUACUGCUUUCCCAGGCCAUAGCAGAGAGCUGGAUCGGAAGUAGAGUAGCCGGGACUCGAACUGGCACCCAUAUGGGAUGCAGGCACUGCAGGUAGCAGCCCUACCUGCUUGCCACAGCGCCGGCACCACAGACUGUCCUGAUUUGGAGGGUCUUUUAUAAUUAUUGUUGCUAUUGGUUUGGGAGUUCCUGGGGGAAGAGCCAUUGGCUUGGCUUGAUGGAGGAUCUUCACCCGGGUGCUGACUGCAGAGGCCAACUGCUUGUGCUACACACCUGCUGCGGGUGCAACCUGAAUUGGGUCACUGCCUCCUUAGAUUCCGAUAAAGGUGAUGGCUCAAAGGCAAAGGAAACGGGCCCAGCAGCCUGGGCAGUUUUCCUCCAAUUGUAGGGCAAAGACCUGAACCCAGAUCCCGAUCUCGCAGCGCAGUGGUCCAGCAACUAUCCAGAACCGCUUCCCAGUAUGAACGAAAAGUGUACACCUUGUUCAAGCCCAGAGAACCAGUAAACACCGGGCGGGCAUGUUCACCAAGAACUGGGUGGUUUGAAAGCGCGAUACCUCGGCUGACCUUGCAUGUGCGCUUCCCACGUAAGAAUGUUGCAACGAUGGAUCCGUGCCUAGGAGUCAUGCUGUGGUGACAAGAACAUGUGACUUAGGCUGGGCUCAGAUUCCACCCGUCUGUGUCCUUGGGCAAAUGACCUAAUCUGACCACGAUUGCAUCAUCUGGUCAACGGCAGCAGCCCCUUGUUCGAGGUACUAAAGGUGCCUGGGUGUCAGGCCAGGAAAUCAAAAGCUGCACACUCAAAAAAAGAUGUUUUCCUGUGUGGCCCAAGGUCUUUUUGUUUGUUUUCCAGGAGAGAGUCCUGACUCACAGCAGAAUGGGAUGGGACAGGCAGAGGGAACUCCUCUGCUUGGCUUAGUAUCAGUUGGGUGCGUUUAACCCUGGUAUCUUAGCACGGCCCUUCUCAAUCUUGAGCUCAGGUCAGGAUCCCAAGGAGAGUUUGGUACACCUCCAAUCCUUGGCUGCAACCCCUGGAGCUGCGAUUCCAGGCCUUGCACUUGCUACAAGUUCCCAGGAAACCCUGGCCCUGUGCAAAAAGUAACUCCGUCCCCCCGAGACAGACUGGAGCCCACUUUGUCGUCAUCUGAACUCCUGAGAGAACACGGUGGCCGUCCUGUCACUGAUGAAGAGGACCUGGAGCAGGUGAACCAGCCGGAGACCUGCACGCGCUAAGCACACACCGCAGCCCCGGCGCUAAGCACACACCGCAGCCCCGGCUUCAGCAGGAUUCCUGACCCUCGGGUCCUCGGCAGUAAGGAGGCGGCAGCAGCUCAGACCCCUCGUCGCGGGCCUUGCAGGGUACAGGCCACCUUCUCCCCUGCCCUGGUGCCAGGGAUUGACGCAGAGGGUGCUGGGCAAACAGACGCACACCUUUCGGGGCUCUGCAACAGCUCACAGCAGUCUCCAGGAACCUAGCAGACUAUCACUUCCACACCGGCCCAGUCCAUUACUGCACUCAGUGUCCCGGCUGCACGGUAGCUCAUUUUCUUUGCUAUUACCCAGAGUAAGAAGAAAGGGGGUGGGGGCAGCGCGGAGGCGUAGCAGGUAAAUCCGCUGCCUGCAGCCAGCAUCCCGUGUGGGUGCUGGUUCAAGUCCCAGCUGCUCCACUUCCCAUCCAGCUCUCUGCUGUGGCCUGGGAAAGCAGUAGAAGAUGUGCUUGGGCCCCUGCACCUGCGUGGGAGACCAGGGGAGGCUCCUGGCUUUGGAUCGGCGCAGCUCUGGCCAUUGUGGCCAUUGCCAUUUAGGGAGUGACCAGCAGAUGGAAGACUUCUCUCUUCCUCUGCCUCUCUGUAACUCUGCCUUUCAAAUAAAACAUAUUUAAAUAAAAUAAAA